rnacentral:rRNA from 1 species
AGUGAACGCUGGCGGUAGGCCUAACACAUGCAAGUCGAACGGCAGCACAGUAAGAGCUUGCUCUUACGGGUGGCGAGUGGCGGACGGGUGAGGAAUACAUCGGAAUCUACUUUUUCGUGGGGGAUAACGUAGGGAAACUUACGCUAAUACCGCAUACGACCUACGGGUGAAAGCAGGGGAUCUUCGGACCUUGCGCGAUUGAAUGAGCCGAUGUCGGAUUAGCUAGUUGGCGGGGUAACGGCCCACCAAGGCGACGAUCCGUAGCUGGUCUGAGAGGAUGAUCAGCCACACUGGAACUGAGACACGGUCCAGACUCCUACGGGAGGCAGCAGUGGGGAAUAUUGGACAAUGGGCGCAAGCCUGAUCCAGCCAUACCGCGUGGGUGAAGAAGGCCUUCGGGUUGUAAAGCCCUUUUGUUGGGAAAGAUAAGCAGCAGGUUAAUACCCCGCUGUUCUGACGGUACCCAAAGAAUAAGCACCGGCUAACUUCGUG